rnacentral:lncRNA from 10 species
GUGGAGUUUCCCUCCCCAAGCUCUGUCUUUGCCUGCUGCCAUCCAUGUAAGAAGUGCCUUGCUCCUCCUUGUCUUCUGCCAUGAUUAUGAGGCUUCCCCAGCCAUGUGGAACUGUAAGUCCAAUUAAACCUCUUUUCUUUGUAAAUUGCCCAGUCUUGGGUAUGUCUUUAUCAGCACCAUGAAAAUUGACUAAUAUAGAAUGGUUACUCUAACUCAUCUCCAAAGGAAUAACAUUUUCUGAUUUUUCAAGCUCUCAGAAUGGUCUUGAAGCAGCUGCCUAUAUUACCUGGCUGGAAGUUUUGAUCAUAGUAUGUGGACCACUCUAGGUCACUUGAAAGAGCUGGGACAAUCUCCAUGGCUGUCACCAAAAAUAUAUACCCGAGAAGAGGAAAAACUUUAGGCUAUUGAUAUAUAAAUCAAUGUAUUUCAGGACAAUCACAAUUAGAAAGUGGAUGGCUUUCCUAAAUUAAGUUGUAAUCCCACUUAGCACUCAAUAAUCCUGCCUGCCUCACGGAGGUAUUUUUAGAAGCCACGGGAACCAAGUUUAUGUCUUGCUUUUGACAUGAGGCUUACUUCUUCCAGCAAAUAUUAAUAUUGUUCAGCUUUGCCCUGGUACUUGAAACAAGAGUAGAAGUUGAUAAAUGUUAUCUGAGGACUGCAAUCAGCAAGCUCGAAAGUGCAAACUAAUAUAUUCCAUCACUUUUAUGAGCCCAUCAUCGAGGAAAUCAGAUAUAUUUGACUCACCCCUUACUGGAAAAAAAGAAAAAUCUGAUCUUGGAGCUGCUAAUCUGAACUGUUUCCAUGCAUCAUGCCAAAUGGAAAAUCUUUAUCCCUACGUAGUAGGUGCCAAAAUCAAGGUAUCAAAGGAGUCCAUGAUGAAAAGAAGCAUCACUCCACAGCAAAUUGAAGGGAGUAGGGGCAGGACAGGACUGUGAUUUACUGAAAUUAAAAUAUACACAAGCCUCAGUCUAUUUUCUAGCAAAAUGAUAAGCCUAAAUAUGCAAAUAUGGCUCGCUUUACCCUGUGAUGCAAACAACCCACACCAAACUAGACUGGCAAUGCAGCUAAACUAUUCGUGAUUUGCUUAUAAGUGAAAGGCAAGAAGAGCAGCAAUUAAAAACCAUGACUGGUGAGGCGCGAUGGCUCACGCCUAUAAUCCCAGCAUUCUGGGAGGCCUAGGCAGGUGGAUCACAAGGUCAGGAGUUCAAGACCAGCCUGGCCAACAGGGUGAAACCCUGUUUCUACUAAAAAUACAAAAAUUAGCUGAGUGUGGUGGCACCCGUCUAUAAUCCCAGCUACUCGGGAGGCUGAGGCAGGAGAAUCACUUGAACCCAGCAGGCGGAAGUUGCCAUCAGCUGAGAUUGUGCCACUGCACUCCAGCCUGGGCGACAAAGCAAGACUCUGUCUCAAAAAUAAAUAAAUAAAUAAAUAAUAAAUAUGAAAACCAUAACCAUCUCAUGACAAAAACCAGAAGGUAUACACCCCUAAAGCAUGCUUCCUCCAAGUCAAGCAAAUUCCAGCUCUCUGCAUGGGCACAUGUGCGGUUGGAACUGGGCAGUGUUGUCCUUGACUGAGUGCAGGCCAGGCUUCUUAUGGAAUCCU